rnacentral:lncRNA from 1 species
CUCAAACACAUUAAACCGUUAAUGACUAACCCAGAGCUGAGAAUUAGGUAGUUGGAGCUCACAUCCAAACCAGGCAGGGAAGGGUUAAUCGUUCAGCUUUUUGGAGCAGCUCUAGAAUCAAAAUGGGUUGGAGCCAAGGCUGGGGAGAUGCGACCAACUGCUGAGACCAAGAAGGAUUCCAGAGGACGGACCAGCAGCAACAUUCAUGAUUAGAGGCUUGGUGCUUUGAGCCUUAUGAUGUCAGCCCAACAUCCAGCCUGACACCUAAGAAGGAGCAGGGGUUAGAGAUUGAGUUCAACCUCAUGGCCAAUGAUUCAAUCAGUCAUGCCUACAUGAUGAAAACCCAAUGAAGAACUGGACACCAGAUCAUGGGUGAGCUUCCCUGGUUAACAUAAUGCUGGGUGUAUAGUUACACAUCGACAUGCUGGGAGGGUGACAUCCUGAUCUCAUGGGGAGAGGACACCAAAGCUUAUUAUCUGAGACCCUCCCAGAACUUGCCCUAUGUGUCCUUUCUUU